CAGUCGCCGCGGGAAUACGUAGGUGGCGAGCGUUGUCCGGAAUCAUUGGGCGUAAAGGGAGCGCAGGCGGGCAUGUAAGUCUUUCUUAAAAGUUCGGGGCUCAACCCCGUGAUGGGAAAGAAACUACAUGUCUUGAGUACGGGAGAGGAAAGCGGAAUUCCCAGUGCAGCGGUGAAGUGCGUAGAUAUUGGGAGGAACACCAGUGGCGAAGGCGGCUUUCUGGACUGCAACUGACGCUGAGGCUCGAAAGCCAGGGGAGCGAACGGGAUUAGAUACCCGAGUAGUCCCUGUCUCUUAUACA
rnacentral:rRNA from 1 species